rnacentral:rRNA from 1 species
AUUGAACGCUGGCGGCAGGCCUAACACAUGCAAGUCGAGCGGUAGCACAGAGAGCUUGCUCUCGGGUGACGAGCGGCGGACGGGUGAGUAAUGUCUGGGAAACUGCCUGAUGGAGGGGGAUAACUACUGGAAACGGUAGCUAAUACCGCAUAAUGUCGCAAGACCAAAGUGGGGGACCUUCGGGCCUCAUGCCAUCAGAUGUGCCCAGAUGGGAUUAGCUAGUAGGUGGGGUAAUGGCUCACCUAGGCGACGAUCCCUAGCUGGUCUGAGAGGAUGACCAGCCACACUGGAACUGAGACACGGUCCAGACUCCUACGGGAGGCAGCAGUGGGGAAUAUUGCACAAUGGGCGCAAGCCUGAUGCAGCCAUGCCGCGUGUGUGAAGAAGGCCUUCGGGUUGUAAAGCACUUUCAGCGGGGAGGAAGGCGGUGAGGUUAAUAACCUCAUCGAUUGACGUUACCCGCAGAAGAAGCACCGGCUAACUCCGUGCCAGCAGCCGCGGUAAUACGGAGGGUGCAAGCGUUAAUCGGAAUUACUGGGCGUAAAGCGCACGCAGGCGGUCUGUCAAGUCGGAUGUGAAAUCCCCGGGCUCAACCUGGGAACUGCAUUCGAAACUGGCAGGCUAGAGUCUUGUAGAGGGGGGUAGAAUUCCAGGUGUAGCGGUGAAAUGCGUAGAGAUCUGGAGGAAUACCGGUGGCGAAGGCGGCCCCCUGGACAAAGACUGACGCUCAGGUGCGAAAGCGUGGGGAGCAAACAGGAUUAGAUACCCUGGUAGUCCACGCCGUAAACGAUGUCGAUUUGGAGGUUGUGCCCUUGAGGCGUGGCUUCCGGAGCUAACGCGUUAAAUCGACCGCCUGGGGAGUACGGCCGCAAGGUUAAAACUCAAAUGAAUUGACGGGGGCCCGCACAAGCGGUGGAGCAUGUGGUUUAAUUCGAUGCAACGCGAAGAACCUUACCUGGUCUUGACAUCCACAGAACUUUCCAGAGAUGGAUUGGUGCCUUCGGGAACUGUGAGACAGGUGCUGCAUGGCUGUCGUCAGCUCGUGAUGUGAAAUGUUGGGUUAAGUCCCGCAACGAGCGCAACCCUUAUCCUUUGUUGCCAGCGGUCCGGCCGGGAACUCAAAGGAGACUGCCAGUGAUAAACUGGAGGAAGGUGGGGAUGACGUCAAGUCAUCAUGGCCCUUACGACCAGGGCUACACACGUGCUACAAUGGCAUAUACAAAGAGAAGCGACCUCGCGAGAGCAAGCGGACCUCAUAAAGUAUGUCGUAGUCCGGAUUGGAGUCUGCAACUCGACUCCAUGAAGUCGGAAUCGCUAGUAAUCGUAGAUCAGAAUGCUACGGUGAAUACGUUCCCGGGCCU